AGAAAUCAGGUCCAAGCCAGAAAACAGUAAAAUGGCCCAAUGUAAGACCAUCGUCGCAGCAGUCCUCGUGGUUGCUCUCGUGGUUUCGACGAUCCCAGCCAGCGCCGAUACGAACCUGGAACCUGCAGGAGGCUCUACGGAGGGCAGUGCCCGCACCUCCGGCAUGCAGAAGGAAGAGACCCGAGGCAACAAGAAGCCAGCGACGCUCGCUGGAUCUCUUGGUUCAGGCAAGAAUGCCAUCUACGGGUAAAUGAUUAGAAGGAAUCCUGCUUCGGAAGGUAUGAAAACAAUGGGGAUGUGCUCAACAAUCAAUCUCAACCCCAGGUGACGGCAAUGAGUCACCCACAGGAAUGUAACCGGAUAUAGAUGGACAUUGCUCGUUCCAUAUUUCUUUUUCAUAUUUUCUCUUCAAAUUCAAUUGAAAUACGGAUAAUAUUGUGUGAGGUCGGAUAAAAUUUAAAUGAAUAUCAGUAUCUUAUCCAACUUUAAAUAUAUGUAUACUGAUAAAAAUCGGAUACAAAUUAGAUACUGGAUACCGGACUCGGACACGGAUGAUAUCUCAGCCCACUUAGGGUUUGUUGGGUUAUUGAGGAACUUUGGCCAGGAAUGAUUUCCAGCCAGAAUCAUUAGUACACAUAAGUUCUAUAGUGACGGUUGUAAACCUAUUUGCGCUGUCGUUUUUUAGAACAGUCUAUGCUAGAGGCCAGUAUUAACAAUCUUUUUUACAAACGGGUAAUUAAAAACCGCCGAUAAAAAUUGAUUUCCACUAGCGGUCGACAUAAUAAAACCGCUAGUGGAAAUUUCCACUGGCGGUCGAGAUAAUAAAACCGAUAGUGAAAAGCUUAUUCAAGAAGAGUAAAAAUGGGUUUAAAAAUAACAAAAAAAAUUCUUAGCACCAGCAUAAUCAUUCCUAAGGUCUGGUGGUUUCUCCUUUGGAUUAUCUUUCAAUGACUUUCUAAAGUUUUCUCAGUUUUACUUAAAUAAAUGGUGGUUCUACGUUUCUUCACCGGACUAGUACCUAGCAUAUUUUUCUCAAGCACUACAACAUCUAGGCAUCCUAGGAAAAAAACAGUUUCUCUCUAUUUUUUAGUUUUGUUCCUCUUUUUUAUUUUCUAAAAGAUUGGACAGAAACAUCUUUUAGAGAUAGUUUGGGAACUCUAUUUUCUUAAAAGAUUUCUAUUUUCUCAAGGGAAACUAAACUAAUUUCUCUCAGGAAAAUGAAAAUCUCUUGAGAAAAUGGAAUUCCCAAACUAGCCCUUAGUGGAUAAACCCUACUUAAACUUUUGAACUAGGGUGCUCAAUAUUUUUAGAUGAUGUUACUAUUAACAAGUACCUACUCAAAUUUUCUUAACCUAGUGCAACAAGUUUUGUAUUUUCUCCAUAUUUUCUUGUUUUAGGUAGUCUGCUUAUUUAAAUAUAAACCUUUGAAAACAAUAUUGUAAACAUGUGAUUUCUUAUUUUUAUUUGAUGUGACACCCUCGUUGUUUAUUUCGUGUUAUGCUGUGAGAUUGGUCCUAAGCUCAGAUCGUCAGUGAAAAUUUUGAGUUCUCGAUCGCGUCUAUUCCGGUUUAUCAAGUUUGUUCAUGAAAGUUUCACUGAAUUCGAAGUUUUUUAACACCCCGGGUGUUUAUCAUCCGUUCGACGACGGCGGUGAACAUAAGUACAUGAUGUCAGUGCGAAUAACAGUACAAUAAUUGAUCACGAAAUACAGAGGACACGAGACGGAUUAAUCUCAAGUGAAGCUGAUGAAUGAACCUGAAGCUUGGAUGAUCUGAUCAAGUACUAGGAUGAGAGGUGCUCACCAAGUGGUCACCAUCUAACCAUUGGUUGGCAUGAAUCCAAUCUCUGCCUAGGAUUAGACUGUAAUUUUCUUCUACAUCAGCGAUGAAGAAUGCAGCAGCAAGGGUCUUAGUCCCGAUGGUUAAUUCAACGGACGUGACUCCCUUGGCUUUGAU
rnacentral:lncRNA from 7 species